UAAGUAGACCAGGUAAUCGCGGAAGAAGAAUAAUUUCUUUCGAGGAAAGUCCGAGCUCCGUAGGGCAAAGUGCUGGGUAAUCCCCAGUGAGGGUGACCUCAAGGAAAGUGCUACAGAAAAUAUACAGCCUGGUACCCAAUCCCAAAAUUAAUUAGAAAAGAUAGUUUUAAGUUUAAAAAAUGAAUAAAAAAGAUUUUUUAAAAGUAAUUUAAUCUCAGGAUUGAGUGCCGGGUAAAGGUGAAAAGGUAGGGUAAGAGCCUACCAGUUGUUAGGUGACUAACAAGCUUAGUAAACCCCACUUGGAGCAAGACCAAAUAGGAAGAGUUGUGGUGGCCCGCUGAAUCUUCGGGUAGGUCGCAAGAGGUGUAAAGUAAUUUACAUCCCAGAGAGAUGAUUACCGCCCCUAUCAUUAAUAGAUAAGGGAACAGAACUCGGCUUAUGGUCUACUUAUAAG
rnacentral:RNase_P_RNA from 1 species